rnacentral:rRNA from 1 species
CACGGGUAUGCCUUAGUACGGCGAGUGAAGCGGCAAAAGCUCAAAUUUGAAAUCUGGUACCUUCGGUGCCCGAGUUGUAAUUUGGAGAGGGCAACUUUGGGGCCGUUCCUUGUCUAUGUUCCUUGGAACAGGACGUCAUAGAGGGUGAGAAUCCCGUGUGGCGAGGAGUGCGGUUCUUUGUAAAGUGCCUUCGAAGAGUCGAGUUGUUUGGGAAUGCAGCUCUAAGUGGGUGGUAAAUUCCAUCUAAAGCUAAAUAUUGGCGAGAGACCGAUAGCGAACAAGUACAGUGAUGGAAAGAUGAAAAGAACUUUGAAAAGAGAGUGAAAAAGUACGUGAAAUUGUUGAAAGGGAAGGGCAUUUGAUCAGACAUGGUGUUUUGUGCCCUCUGCUCCUUGUGGGUAGGGGAAUCUCGCAUUUCACUGGGCCAGCAUCAGUUUUGGUGGCAGGAUAAAUCCAUAGGAAUGUAGCUUGCCUCGGUAAGUAUUAUAGCCUGUGGGAAUACUGCCAGCUGGGACUGAGGACUGCGACGUAAGUCAAGGAUGCUGGCAUAAUGGUUAUAUGCCGCCCGUCUUGAACCACAGACCA